rnacentral:other from 3 species
AUUGACCUGGUGUAUGCGCUAGACCGUCAGUCCUCGAGCCGAUAAUGCACCACCCGGAGAUUCUUCAUUUUUACUGUUGUGCAUGCCCGGUGCGGCCGGGAAGCCUGAUGUAGGAUGAGGGUCACCACCUUGAACCGCAUGGGUUCAAGGGCGACACUGUCGGCGGUACUCUGGGUCAUAC